AUACGAUUAUUAUGCAUCUAUUAUCAUAAGAUCUAUCUUGAUUUCGGUCUAUUUUUUGUGAAAACUGAUUCUUUCUUAUUUUUUCUUUAUUGAAACUAAUUAAACAUGUGUAUGAAAUUUGACAAUUUUCAAACCAAAUUGUUUUUAACAGUUCAAACCGUACAUUUACUAAAAUUUCAGCACAGAAUUGCGUUGCCAACUAGUCGUAAUCAAACCUAAUUACUAAUUUAUCCUUUCAGGAAGUCUAAUUUAUAGGCUGUGUCGCAAUUCGAGCUCCGGACUGCAGUAAAAAAAUGCAAAUAGCAGAGCUUUGCGAAUGUCAACGCGAAAUAUUUAUGCAGCAUUGAUUUGACAACAACACAGCCUAACAACAAUUGCCGGACAAUGAAUUAUCCCAACUACGGGUUUUCGCAAUCCUGCAACGAAAACCACAAAGGAGGAUCAAGUUCGUCUGCUAAUGACAGGACAUUCGUGCUAAUGCCAUUCAAAUUAAAUGAAAUUAAGCAAGGCCAUGCAAAAACAUUUCAAUAUUAUCAAGGCAAAAUAUUGGCUUUUAACUAGAAAUGCUGUCAACAUUUAAAUAGCGUAGCUAUGGAAAAUAAUAUGACUGAAUAAAUGUGCAAAUAUAAGCUUAAGAAGCAGUGAAUGAGUGAAAAUAUGUACAUAAUUAGGAAACCAAUGUUGAUAUAUUUGCAUAUCAACUCGGAAUUGGACUGGCUGAAGCCAUUUGGAAUUUAUCAAAAUAAAAAGUACAGUUUUGGUAUUGGGCCCCCAGAAAUACCUAAAAUAUGUUUGUGUAUGUCCAGCCAUUUAAAGUUCAGGGGUUAAUCAGUGGGCCAAGGGUUAAUUCAGAUUGGGUGUUAACAUCCUUGAAGUCCUGCGUCUCGGGUUUUAUUCAUCCGCCGGCUGGUUAUAGUUGCACAUGGUAGUGUUCAUGGGUGGCAGCCCCUGUCCCGCCAACGGCCCUCCGCCCACAUUAACCCCUUAGCAGCAGCAUCCUGAUACUCCCCGAGACCCCCGCUUAACCCCUUAACGCCGGAGUGCGUGACUCAAUGCCUGUUUGUAGUCUGAUGCAGAUUGGCUCCGGCUGGGAGGGAGGCCACCCACACACGGCCGCCUGCCACGCCCACUCGACCUUAGUGGUGCCAAUUAUGGAUUACAAAAGAUAAACAAUGCGGGGCCAUAAAAGCCAGGUUUUUGAAUCCAAUGGACAUCAUUCAACUCCAAGAUGCGUCUCCUUCUGUUGUUAUUUUUGGCCUUCAGCUGCUGCCUGAUGCAACCGAGCAUGGCAGAAGUGGGUUUGGUUCGUGGACUGGAGACUGCCGCUCAUCAUCACAACUCCACUGGAGAACAAUUCAGAGCUCCGCCACCACCACCACCACCUAGCUCUACAGCAGCCGGAUCGACAGGUUAGAUGGUUCCAACACUAUAUACCAUAAAGGAACAUCUUUUGACCACAGACGAGUGUAAAAAAAUAUAUCACGUUAUUCACUUGAAGUGUUAAUCAAUUUGUACUAUUAAUAAAGGUCUA